rnacentral:rRNA from 1 species
UUCCGGUUGAUCCCGCCGGACCUGACUGCUAUCGGAUUGAUACUAAGCCAUGCGAGUCAUUGUAGUAAUACAAGGCAGACGGCUCAGUAACGCGUAGUCAACCUAACCUAUGGACGGGAAUAACCUCGGGAAACUGAGUAUAAUGCCCGAUAGAACAUUAUGCCUGGAAUGGUUUAUGUUCCAAAUGAUUUAUCGCCGUAGGAUGGGACUGCGGCCUAUCAGUUUGUUGGUGAGGUAAUGGCCCACCAAGACUAUUACAGGUACGGGCUCUGAGAGGAGUAGCCCGGAGAUGGGUACUGAGACACGGACCCAGGCCCUAUGGGGCGCAGCAGGCGAGAAAACUUUGCAAUGUGCGAAAGCACGACAAGGUUAAUCCGAGUGGUUUCUGCUAAAGGAACCUUUUGUUAGUCCUAGAAACACUAACGAAUAAGGGGUGGGCAAGUUCUGGUGUCAGCCGCCGCGGUAAAACCAGCACCUCAAGUGGUCAGGAUGAUUAUUGGGCCUAAAGCAUCCGUAGCCGGCUCUGUAAGUUUUCGGUUAAAUCUGUACGCUCAACGUACAGGCUGCCGGGAAUACUGCAGAGCUAGGGAGUGGGAGAGGUAGACGGUACUCAGUAGGAAGGGGUAAAAUCCUUUGAUCUAUUGAUGACCACC